rnacentral:rRNA from 1 species
UACGUAGGGUGCAAGCGUUGUCCGGAAUUAUUGGGCGUAAAGAGCUCGUAGGCGGUUUGUUGCGUCGGCUGUGAAAUCCCGAGGCUCAACCUCGGGUCUGCAGUCGAUACGAGCAAACUAGAGUGUUGCAGGGGAGACUGGAAUUCCUGGUGUAGCGGUGAAAUGCGCAGAUAUCAGGAGGAACACCGGUGGCGAAGGCGGCAUCCUGGACCGAUAUUGACGCUGAUGCGCGAAAGCCAGGGGAGCAAACGGG